CUUGGGUAUUAGAAAUAUGGCAAAGGACAUGGAAAUGUAGAACGUUUCUCUCUCUCUGGUAGAAACUAAAUUCAAGUUAGAAACAAAAAUCCACAGUUUCAACUGCUGUAGGUCAAAGGAGCUUUCCUAAACUGUUCCAAGUAAGAAUCUAGAAAGUAGUAAUCACUUUGAAUUUUAAUUCCAGUCAUUUUCUGACAAAACAGCUGAGGAGAGGGAUAAGGAAUGUACUGUCAUUAAUGAUGAGCCAACUGUUCUGGUAACUAAGUGCAAUGGAUCCUCCAACUUAGGUUUUUUGUCUUCCGGUUUUGGGGCUCAUCCACUGAGAGGGACUGAAAGAACUACUCUGACCAUGUGAAAGCCAGGACGUACAGCCCUCUGCUCCUCUGAAGCACGGCUGGAUACAGCACACUGCGAACAGCACUCCAGCCAGCCCCCGCGUGCUACCAGCUGUGAGAGAGGGCAGCAGCUGCACCUCUCAGCCAUACAGCAACUGCAGCAGGCCCUGAAAAAUAAAAUUUUAUAACUCCCACUGACAAGAAUUAAUCCAGGACAGUUUCUGCUUCUAGCGUGCAUAAAUGUUCCUCUUCAAAACCAGCUUUUCGGCAAGCCUAUCAGCCUGGAAGGUGUUCAAAUGAUUAAUUUUUCGAAGACUGAUGGUGCUAGGAAUCCAGGAGAUAGUGGUGCUGAAGGGUCCAACAAGCAGGAAAGAUAUCAAACAUCCUUCCACAGUCCUCAGACAGUUUGAGGAGCAGUGACUUUCAUAAAGCUCUCUAUAGUGCAAACUGGAGAGCCAAUGACAAAAGGCAAUUUACCUGCCUUGUAUUCAAACUGUAGUCUAAGAAGCUGCACUCUCUCCAGUCUCCUGCCAGUAAUUGUGCUCUCCAUGUUCCUGCUAACGAGAAGAAUGGCAGUCUCUUGUCCUUCUGUUUUCCUCUUUCUUGCUGCACCUACAGCUCCACAUGUGUUUUGUUGCAUUUUUAAUAUAGAUUAGUCCAUCUACUCCAUAAAUGAGUAUCCUUCCAAACUGUAUUCUUCAACUUACUUCAAUGAAGUUUGUUGACAAAUAAAAACAUUAUUAGAGCAGAGAAUGAAGGGUGG
rnacentral:lncRNA from 1 species